rnacentral:lncRNA from 1 species
AUCAAGCCAUUUUUAACUAAACCGAAAUUAAGCAUAAGAAUUAGACUAUUAAAACAUAUUCUUUAAUACCAAAUUCAAAAACGAAAAGAGACAAGCCAUUUUCGCAUGGCUCAUAUUUACAUAUCAAAAAAUAAUUUAAACAUAUUAACUAGACUAUACAUGCCAUAGGUUCGAGUUCAAAAUAUACAAAAUACCAAGAACGGUCGAUAGUGUGAUAGACUAAGCUGACGAUCCCCGAACUCGUAACACGUCUCCAAAAUCUAUAAACAAAUAAACAAAAACAAUCAAAGUAAGCUUCUAAAACUCAGUAAGUUCAUAGCAUAUCAAAAUACAUAUUAACGAUCACUUGUAUUAUCAUUAUAUACAUAAAAAAAAUUAAGUUAUAUACAUCAUCAUUAAUUGCAUAUAUAUAUUCCAAAUAUACUUAUCGGCCACACGUGCCGAAUGCACACAUAUAUGUAUAUAUACUUUAGUUCACAUAUGCCGAACGCAUAGAUAUAUAUACUUACCAGACACAAAGAUUCGAGCUUUUAAAUGCUCUUCAAAAACAUAGCAACAGAUGUUCAUAUAUUAAUCCUAUAUAAAUAACCAAAUCAUAUACAUAUAUAUAUUCAAUGUAUACAAUCACUUAAUUAAAACAGAUUCAACGGCACAUAGACUGCUAGACUUAUAGCUUGAUUCAGAUCACCGGCACGUAGCCUGCUAGGUUUAUAACCUGAUUCAAAUCACCGGCACGUAGCCUGCUAGGUUUAUAACCCGAUUCAAAUCACCGGCACGUAGCCUGCUAGGUUUAUAACCCGAUUCAAAUCACCGGCACGUAGCCUGCUAGGUUUAUAACCCGAUUCAAAUCACCGGCACAUAGCCUGCUAGGUUUAUAACCCGAUUCAAAUCACCGGCACGUAGCCUGCUAGGCGCUUAGCCUAAAAAUCUCAAUUUCACAGAUACAAGGAUGAUUUCUCGUAUAUUUCUUAAUAACAACAUACAUUCAUAACAUUUAUAUAUAAUUCACAAUCUCAACUCUAUCUCAAGAAAAUUGGUAGUCCAUGUUUGAAUCAUGCAAGCAUUUAAAAUUUAUACUUUUAAUUCAAUGCAAAUCUUAAACCUAUAUAUAUAUACAAUCAACCAUGUAUAUCAAUAUAUAAUUCCAUACCUAAUUUCAAUACAUAUACUUUUAAAUUUUUAGCUCAUCAAAUAUAUAAUAGAUGUACAUUUAUAUUUAUAUAUAUAUACAUAUUCGAACUUAAUUUAUGCAUAUGUAUAUAUAUAACACUCAUACUUAAAAUUCAUUAUAAGAACAUAUACAUAUAUGUAAGCAUGCUUAUUCAAAUAUAGCAUAUAUAUAUAAAUUAUAAUUCACAUGUACAUAUCUAUUAAAAACUUCUCUUACAAUUAUGGGUUACAUAACUUCAAAUAAAUCCAUGAGUUUAUACACAUAUAUAUUAUACAAUUCUUUAAUUAAAAUCAAGAAUUUAUACCUAUGCAAUAUUCAUACUUUAACUAAUUUCAAUAACUUUUAUAUAUACAUGCUUAUUCGAAUAUCAACUAUACUCUUAUACAUUUCUUACCUUUAUUUCAACCCAUAAAUCUAUACAAGAUUAUACUUUUAUAUUCGAACAUUCUAUAUAUAUAAAUAUCAUCCAUACUUAAAAAUUUACUCAAUCAAUAUACUUUUAAUUAUAGCUCAACUCCAAAUACAAUUAGUAUACAUGAAUAAAUAUUAACAUAAUAAAUUUUAAUUGCUAAUAGACUUACCUCGGAUAUCAGCGGACACGAUCGACUAUUCGAUUACUUUCGUUUUUCCCCGAUCCAAAUUCGUUUUCUUCGUUUCUUGAUCUAAACAUAAUCAAAUUUAACUUUUUUUUAUUCAUCAAAACAUUCAAUUAAGUUCAAAAAUACAUAAAUAGGAAAAUUACCAUUUUGCCCCUAACAUUUUGCACUUUUUGCAAUUUAGUCCUUUUUGCACAAAACACAAAAUACACAAAAUUUGCCCAUACCACACAAGAGCCGAAUAUUCAUGGUUCUCAUACAUGUCCACACAUUGCAUUUAUUUCAUAUUUUAGUCCUUCAAAAAUUUAUUUUCACAAUUUAACUCUAAUUACACAAAUUCACUAAAAAUUUAAAGACAAAACAUGUUAAUCUAACACAUAUAUUUCAUAUUUCAUCAACUAACAUGACAAAACUCAAACAUUCAUCAAUGGCACAUUUCAAAAUCAUCAACAAUUCACAAAUUUAAUACAUGGGUUUUGAAGUAUUCAAAGCAUCGAUCUCAAAAACGUAAAAAUUAUCAAAAACCGAAACAAUUUCAUACCUUAAUCAAGCUAGUAAAGUGCCGAAACCCUAAAUGCCAUGGAUGUUUUCUUUCUUUGCAACAUUCGGCCAACAAAAGAGAUGAUAAUGGCUUGUUUUAUGUUUUGUUUUAUUAUACUAUACAUUAUUUAUUAAUUUACUUAUUUAACCUUUAAUAAUUAAUAAACAAAACAUAUAUAAUAAGGUUAUAUUAGUCCUUUGCCACCCACUAUCUAUGUUUUAGUCUAAUUGCAUCAUUAAUCCCCCAUUUUAAAAAGAAAACAACAAUUAGGUACUUUUAGAUUUAACCCCUAAAUUUUUAUUUUAAGCGAUUUAAUCCUUUUAUUUAAUCGGACACUCAAAUGACAAAAUUAAAACACGAAAAUUUCACACAAUUAAAUUCACACAUAAUAAACACACAAAAUAAUAUUAAAAUAUUUUUUUGACUCGGACUUGUGGUCCCGAAACCACUAUAUCCGAUUAGAGUCAAAACCGGGUUGUUACAUUCACAAUUCAAAUCAAUUUCUCAAUCCAAUACAUAUAUAUUUCAAUACCACACUCUCAUACUAUGAAACUUUAUUUUCCCAUAUGAGCUUAAACCAUGAUCAUCACAUAUCAAAGACAAAUGUUCUUGACAUUUUCAUCACAUAAACCGAAUUAAUCAAUGCAACUCAAUGAUAUAAUCAUCCUUAUAUCAUUAUUAUCACACAUAUAUAUAUGUCAUGACUAAAUUUCUUAAACAUUUGAUCAAUUGCUUUUCAAUACCGCAAUAGUUCCUUCAGUACCAAUACGUAUUUACCAUUCAAUUUAACAUUUACCGAUUAUAAUCGGCCUUAUGACCAUUAUACACAAUUCUUUCAUACAUUUUAUUGUCCUCCUCCUCCUCUCCAUUCCACAUCCUUUAUGUAUAAAACAUGCUUAAAUAGUAUUAUACAUAAUUUCACUUUCCACUUAUAUUUAGAUUUAAAGCUGUCUAAUCGAGUUACAGUCACCAAAUUAUUUUUAUCUGGAGCUACAGAGCUCCGAAUUAAGUUCCGCUAAUUUUCCCUGAAACUAGACUCACAUAUCUUCUUUCCAUAAAAUUUUCAGAAUUUUUUGUUUAGCUAAUUACUACAGUUUCUUCUUUAAACUCUCCCCUGUUUCACUGCUUAACAGCUCUAACUCCUCUUCACUAAAAAUUGUUUAUCUCUUUGUACAGAAUUCAAAUGAUGUUCUCGUUUGUUUCUCUUGAAAAUAGACUCAAUUAGGAAUUAAAUAAUGUAAAUUAAAAGCCAUAAUUAUUUUUUUACAAUUUUUAGUGAUUUUUAAAAGUCAGAACAGUGGAUUCCAAAAUCAUUCUAGCUCUGUCUCACUAAAAUUCAAAUAUCUCAUAAUAUAAAACUCAUUUUCUUGCUCUAUUUCUUUUACGUGAAAAUAUACUCAUUCAGCUUCAAUUUCAUAUAUUAUUCAGUCUCUAAUUCAAUUUCCACCAUUUUUGGUGAUUUUUCAAAAUCACACAACUAUUGCUGUCUAAACUGUUUUGUUGCUAAAUGUACACUUUCAUAAUUUCAGUUUUUCACUUUCAAUCACAAUUCAAUUCAAAAUUCACUUUUCCAUUUCUAAGUCGAUAUUCAAUUCAAUUCCACACCUAUAUUCAUUAACCAAUUACACUUAGUCAAUUUCCCGAUGAACACUUCGGAAUAAUAACAGAUACACAGUGGAUUCAGCACGCAGCAACCACUCUUUGUAAUCAAUUAUGCCGGUUCACAUAGUAGCAUGCACAUAGUACUACACAGGUGAACAUCACUAUCCGAUACACGUAGUAGCCUUCACAUAGUACUACACACGUGAUCGAAGCUAUCCGGUACACAUAGUAGCCUGCACAUAGUACUACACAUGCGACCUAUCAUUCUGAUACACGCAGUAGCCUACACAUAGUACUACACACGUGAUCAAGUUUUACGGUUCACAAAGUAGCCUUCACAUAGUACUACACACGUGAUCAAAGCUUUUCGGUACACCUAGUAGCCUUCACUUAGUACUACACAUGUGACCAUUAUUUAUCGAUACACGUAGUAGCCUUCACACAGUACUACACAAGUGACCAAAGCUUCUCGGUACACAUUGUAGCCUUCACUUAGUACUACACAUGUGACCAUUAUUUAUCGAUACACGUAGUAGCCUUCACACAGUACUACACACGUGUUCAUCGAUACCUUACUCAAAUUUUUACCGUUCCGACAGUUCCACAAAGAUUCUUACUUCCCAAUAAUUUACAAUUUCUCCAUAACACAUUAUAAUACCAAUCUUUCCACUCAACUCCAUAACCAAUUUAAUAAAUUGAUUUGAAUCACUUCAACCAUUACUUUCAUUUUCACAUAGUGGCCUACACACAGUCCAUACCACAUAUGUAAUCAUUUCUGUCACUUCAUUCAAAACAUCCAUUUUUAUUCCGAAUGUUCAAUCGGGAAAUUUCUCACUUUUUCUCAUUUUUUUUACUAAUCAAAGUCAAUUCCUUGUCUUUCUUAACUUAUAAUAACAUAUUUAGCUUAUAUUACAUUCACAUUAUUCAAUCCAGUCCAAAAAUCACAUUUUGGAAAAAUUACAUUUUUGCCCCUAAUGUUUCACAAAAUUACGAUUUUGUCCCUAGGCUCGGAAAUUAAACUUUAUUUAUUUUUCUUAUGUAAUAUAACAUGAUGAACAUUUUUCCCUUCUACAGAAACAUCAAAUUGUUGCUCUAAAGUGCACUUAUGAACAUUAGGUAUUUUUACCGAUUAAGUCGUUUUACUCGUUUUCGCUGAAAAUCGCUUAGCAAAAAUCGUUUAACAUAAUUCUAAGCUUCAUAUUCUAUCAUGAAACAUCAAAAUUCACACUUUUCAUCUAUGGGUAAUUUUUCAAACAUAAAUUCUAGCUCGAAUUAAUGGUAGAAAUAGCUUAAGCAAGUUAUCAGGAUUCGAAAAAUACAAAGAACAAGAAAAACGGGGCUAGAACGGACUUACCAUGAAGCUUGGAAGAUGAAAAAACCCUAGCCAUGGUGUUCCCUUGCUACAUACGGCCAUGGAGGAAAGAAUUGAAGAAGAUGAUAAUUUAUUUCAUGUUACUUUGUCUUUAUUCAUUAAUUAAGUUAUUUUACCAAAAUGCCCUUAAAUAGCUUACUUACUAACCAUGUCUAUUUUUGUCCAUAAAUAACCAAUGGUUGAAUUACCAUUUAAGGACCUCCAAUUUAAAAUUUCAUAAUAAUUAGACACCUCUAACUUGUAGAACUCAACUUUUGCACUUUUUACAAUUUAGUCCUUUUGACUAAAUUGAGUGCCCAAACGUCGAAAUUUUCGAACGAAAUUUUCACAAAAUCAUUCCGUGAAAUCGUAGACCAUAAAAAUAUAAGAAAAAAUUUUUUCGUUGUCGAAUUUAUGGUCCCGAAACCACUGUUCCGACUAGGCCCAAAAUCGGGCUGUUACAGGGAUUGUCCUGGAUGCUGAACUGAGACUCUGACCCCUUUUCAACAUGCGCACGGAAACAACCGUACGCUGAGUAUUUUAUACUCAGUGGUAUUACCAUAAUUCAAAUUAUAAUAACAAUAAAGAAUUAUAAUUACGAAGCUUGUAACUAUCCGAUUUCUUAAUAUCAAUUAAUUCAUAAACUUUCAUUAUUUAACAAUAACAAUACAAUUUUUUAGCUACCUUCAAUCUCAAUCACAUAUCACAUGUAGCAAUUUCAAUCACUACAUAAACAUUAAAUUCAUGCCUUUUAUUUUCAAUAUCAAUUUCAAUCUACAAAUUUUUAAUUUUCUCAUAUUCAAUACCACAAUCGAUCAAAUUCAUUUGAUUUUCUCAUUUCAAUUAUUCACCCUAUUAACAAUCUGGACUUUGACGGAUACACGGAUUCCAACCCAAACACGCCAAUACGGCACAUUGUGCCUAAAACGGUACAUAGUACCUAAUCAGUAUACGACACAUAAGUGCCUGAAAUGACACACGAGGUGCCUGAUACGACACAUAAAGUGCCUGAGAUACGACACAUAAAGUGCCUGAUCGGCAAAGCCGAUAAAUCCUGUACUCUUCCAAAUCCUAUUGCAUGCCAACUAUAUCCGACUUAGCCCGACUAGUUAAUAGGGUAUUCAAAUUCUCAAUUCUCUUUCAUUUUCAAUUCAAGAUCACUUUUCCACUUUCUAAUCAAUUAACAAUUUAAUACCAAUUCAUAUUUCAAAUAAUCACAUUCAAUUCAAACCACUUUUCAAUCAUUACACAAUUCACAUAUUCACACAUAUUCAUAAAUUAAUUCACUUUAUUUAAUUCAUAUUUUAAAUUCAUUUUUCAAUCAAAUUCAAAUCACUAAUUACUUUUUAAUCAAUAUACAUUUCAAAUACUCACAUAUUUCCUUCAUUCAAUUUGAUUUGAUUCAAUUCAAAUCACUAUUAUCAUUUCAAUUGCUUACCUAAUUUUACUUACCAUGCAUUUUAAUUAAAAUAUAACAAUUAAUAAUAAAUAGAUUUGAAUUAUAGUAAUACAAACCCGAAUUUGCUCGAUUAUUCCUCAACGACCUUCUCCUCCCCUUUUUGUGCUGAUACCUCGAAUUCUUUACUUGCUAUGAAAAUUAAAUAAUUAAAUAAUUAAUUACAGCACAAAUUUUACAAUAAAAAUAAAAUUUCUAUCAAAAUUUAUACUUUAAUUCCAAUUUAAUCCUAACUAGAUUUAUCUACUUUUCUAAUUUAAUUCACACUCUAUUUCUAUUCAAAUUUCUUCUAAACUCAAAUUUAUCUACUAAUUUUUCAGAAUUUUUCACUAAUUUCGAAUUUUUCUCAAUUUAAUCCCUAAAAUUCAAAACUUAUAGUUUAGUUUACAAUUCAAUCCUUUAUUCAAUUCCAAAUAAAAUUUCUAUCAAAUAAAUCCUCAAUUCCAUCAUUUAUUCAACAUAAACCCUACUCAAAAAUCUAUUAACUUUCAAUUUUUCAACUUCAAUCCAAGAGUAUUUCACUCUAGGAUUCCAAAAACAUCAAAUUUAUGAGAAAAUGACUUGAUUUAGCUUACCUAUUAAACUUCAAGCUUCAAAAUCUCAAUUUUCCCCCUUUCUUUUCUUUCCCUUUUUCUUCCCAUGUUUUCGACUCUUUCUCUGUUUCUUUUCUGUUCUUCUUCUCUUUUUCUAUUCUUUUAUUUCAUUUGUUUUCUUUU